UACGGAGGGUGCGAGCGUUGUUCGGAAUUACUGGGCGUAAAGGGCGCGUAGGCGGCAUGGCAAGUCAGAUGUGAAAGCCCCGGGCUUAACUCGGGAAUUGCAUCUGGAACUGCUUUGCUUGAGUCCUGGAGGGGGUAGUGGAAUUCCCAGUGUAGCGGUGAAAUGCGUAGAUAUUGGGAGGAACACCGGUGGCGAAGGCGGCUACCUGGACAGUGACUGACGCUGAGGCGCGAAAGCUAGGGGAGCAAAC
rnacentral:rRNA from 1 species